AUCAUAUGUUUACCAUCUGAUUGUACAAGGUACUCGGUACCAAGGCAGAAGUUAUAAAGGCAUGCAGGCAGAAAUGGCUGGAUACAUGUGCCUGACCUGGCAGAAUUAUGAAGGAAAGGGAAAAGCUGUGCAGAGAAACUACAAAAUGUGGCCAUGAAGAGAUCUGUGGAAAGAAAGAGAUCUGCAGAGAGAAAAGAAAAUGUCAUUUAAAAACAUGACUAAUGUUACUGACAUUACUAAUAACAGAAAGGGCUUCAAAUCAUUUAAGCACUUCUCUAACAUGAAUUCUUCACGAUCGCCUGUGAGCAGCCAUAGCAAAGGAUUCCAACAGCCAGCGAGCCAGCUUUCAACUGUGCCUCAGCUGGAAGAUGUUUUGAAAUCUGCCAACUUGCCUCCUCGGGAUCAGCCCUGACAGACACCGUCUCUGUUUUACUUGGUUUUGAAAGUAAGGAGCUAAACCUGCAACUUGCAUGUUACAAGGU